rnacentral:lncRNA from 1 species
GCACUUUUCAUUUCGUUUAUUUGUAUAAAUUCUGAAGUCAGGGUCUAGCCUGAGCCUAGAAAGCCAGUCUCACACUAGACGGGUGCUCAGGCCCCCACCUGGACCGAGCACACCCCUCCCUCACCCUCAUCCAGGGCUUCAAGGGGUGCUGAAGACGGAGGGUGUCGAGGAGGGGGUCAGGGAGGUAGGCCCGAACUGGAGGAGUUCAUGUGUGCACACUUCAACCUCAUUAGGCAACGGGCUUCCUGGGCCAGGGUCAGAACUCUGUCCUUCAACCUGCCUCAGGGCCAUCUCCUACCUAUUUUCAGGGCCAGAGGCUAGCCCAGGGCUUGGUGGAGAGAGAAAGCUCCCUGGUCCCUGCAGGAAAACCUCUGCUCCCUCCCUUUCUUCAUCCUUCUCCCCCAGUGCCUGCCCCAUCACACUGAAGGGCCAAGCCAGCAGCAGCCCCAGCCCGUGGCCCUCUCUGUCUGCUUCUCCUGCCUGCCUCCCACCUCCUUUCCUCUUCUCAGGCUGAUCUCUCCCCUGCCCUCCCUUUUCCUGUCCUGCUCCUGGGCUGGGCUGUCUUCCCUUGGGUACAGGGACUCGGGACUCGGGCCACGAGGUUCUUGUGGCAGCGCUGAGGACUGAGCCGCCUGUGGUCCUCUCACAAGCCCACUUUUAAUCCCAUUGACCUCUCGUUAUACUACAGCGCAUAAAUUCAGAUUUGGAGAGCUUAUGUUCCAUCAUAAAUUGGGCUGGCAGACUUCCGAUCAACAAGAUAAAGCUGUCUCCUGUGAGGUGGGUGUUUUAUUAGUCUUGGCCUCGAUGCUGCAGGCACUGAGAUUGGGGGGAGGAGGGGUGAGUCCUCUGUUCUGGAAUCCUCCUGUGCUGUUCAGAGCAGCCUGAUGGUACCCAGAGAUCCAACUGCUUCCUGUCAUCACGGGCAGGCACCAGGAACCUAGGCAUCCCCUGGACCUGGGCUGUAAAUGCCCUAGACCCCCAUCCCCCCAGCACCAGACCGAGGGCCCACUCCUCAGUCCUCAGGCUGGACACUCGAGGGUCACAACAGAGGCUCAAUGUGCACCUAAGCAUGUGUAUGUCUGUGCCCUUCCCUCCCUGGUGGACCUUUGAGAGCCUGGCCAGAGGCAGAGUAGGGUUCAGGGAUCACGGGCACCUGGAUCUGCCUGGAACCCUGGGGGCCAAAUGGCUGGAAGUGGGGACCCAGAAGAGGGAAGUCAAGUCCCCAGCUCCAGAGAUGUGGUGACCACAUCUAGCUCUACUUGCAGGUACAGACACAACCCAUCCAGGGACCCCACAGGCAGACAUGGGGAGGUCUUGGCAGCUGUGGGCCGCUCUGGGCCUAGGCUCUUGCCACUCACUCAGAAUUGGGAGUGAUGUCUGCUGGCCUCACCUGCACCCCCCCCCCCCAGGGGUCAGGUCUGUCUUCAGAAUCUCAGUCAACACCACCUCCCUCUGCCCCUGACAGUUCCAGCUUCUGUACCAGCUUGCCAGCAUCACUUCUCAGUGAAAUCACCCAAAUCAGCAUUCCCAGGCUCCGCCUGACACCUUUGGGCACCCUUGUCUGCCCAGGGCCUCAGCACCACUCACUGUAGGAAAUCUAUGGGUCCAAGAUAUGUGCUGGUGUUCUGGGGGUACAGAGGACCCUGACAGGAAAGGAAGAUAAUCCAGGGAGGCUUCUUGGAGGAGGGGGUGCUGCUGUGAGUCUUGAAGAUAAGUAGGUGGUACCAGGGCCAACAUGACCACCAUGCGCAGGGAGCAUAGAACCUGGACCCUAGUACAUUUAGAGACCACAAAAACAUUUUACUUUUAAUUUCCCUUAAAACCAGAAGGGAAAAAAUAAUAAUGAAUAUUGAAUAAUGAAUCUAUCAUGGAAUAUAUUUGUCUUUUUAUCAAGAGUUAUAAAAUAUAAUUUAAAAUUUUUCAUGGGAUGCCUGGGUGGCUCAGUGGUUGAGCAUCUGCGGGGGAUCAAGUCUCAUACUGGGCUCCCUACGAGGAGCUUGCUUCUCCCUAUGUCUAUGUCUCUGCCUCUCUGUGUGUAUGUGUGUCUCUCAUGAAUAAAUAAAUAAAAUCUUUAAAAAAAUUUUUUUUAAUGGAGGAAAGGACUCCCAAAUGCAACAGUUGCUACACAACUGUUAAUUGGGACCAUGGAAUUGUGAUAUGAGGAGUGGUGCUCCUGAGCAGAGGUGACAGCUCAGUGGUGCUCAAACACUGAAUAAACACAGGGAAAUAGGAAGCUGAACCCUGGGGCAGAGGUGAGGCCUGCAGGCCAAGGGUUCUGGACUGUUCCCAAAGAAGACCCUGGAGAACCAGUUGGCUAGAUGUGCCCAUCAGGCCCUAGGUGAAUGGGGACAGAGUCUGGGAGUGUCACAGAAAUUUCCAAGGUGAGAGGGGCUAAAUUAGGUGUUUGGAGAAUAGGGAUCCGGAAGAGAGCACAGAUGGCAUUUGCUGCUUGGCCAACAGGAAAUAUAAUGCCUGCUCUGAGUGACUGAGCGAGAUGGGGAUGUCAGCAUGGUGGUGGGAAAGGGACUCAAGGGGCUGUGGGGUGGAUGCACCAGGCUACAGACUCUUGAGUGUCUGGAUUGAAGCUGGAGAUGCAGGGUCAUAGUCUGUAACAGAAACCACAGAAGUACUUAUGAAAGAGAAGAAUGCAUAAUGUAGAACCCACCCACUUUCACCCAUCAUCCACUCAUUCACCCAUCAAUCCUUCCCCCAUCCAUCUACCCUUCAACUCCGCCUAUGUAUGAGGGGUGGCCUCCAAUAUGUUGAGGCCAAAACAAGGUAUCAAGCAAAAGCUGACAAGUUUGCUGAGGGCCAUGUUCCUGGCUGGAAGAUGGAAUGACCCAGCCCGAGUCCUGGCUCUGUCCCUCUUCAGUCAUGAAUCAUCCUGCCAUGUGUCUGAGGUCCCAGGAGCUCAGGAGCCCACGCACACCUGCUGGACCUCAGAUACACAGUUACUCCACUGCCAGCAUGUGGCAGACUCAGAUUUUGGCAAGGCGACCCAGUCUAGAAGAAUGGUCGUAUGUUCUUGUGGAGGGGGUCUAUAGCAUGCCAACGUCUGUUAACAUCUACAUGUGCAAGGAACAUUCAGGCUCCUCUGUCCUGAGCAGGGCAUGAGGACUCCACAUUUGGAAAUGGCCACAGUGCUCCAUGCAAAGGUAAAACCCCCUCAGACCAGCCCCAGCCUUGCCAGCUGCCUCUCCUGCUCCACUUCCCAUGGGCCUCCACAUAGCCUGGCCAGUCUGCAGGUAGGAAGCCCCAGAGGGCCAACCUGGGACUUGGUUAAAUGUCCUAGAGAAAGUGCCAGGUUGUGCCCUUGGACAGAGCCCUGGAAACUGCCAGGUUGUUGCCCUUCCCCCGCCUGAGGUAGGCGCAGGUCUGGCCUCUGCAGAUGGGCUCUGUUUGGGGUCUCAGCCCAUACCAAGCUGUGCUCUUCCACCUUCCCACUUCCGACACUGCACCUGGGGCACUGUGCAUAACUUCAACAGGUUGGACAUCACAGAGUUCCUGCUCUCAUGGCACCAUGUGCAAGUGAGACCACAGACACCAGUGCAGAUGAGACGACCCCAUGGAGGACUCAGUUGGCUGCAGUAAUAAAGGAACCCUCACAAGGUGCCUGGGUGGGGGCUCAGUCCGACUCUUGGUUUCGGUUCGGGUCAUGAUCUCAGGGUCAUGAGAUGGAGUCCAGAGUCUUAGGAAGCUUCUGGGGGUAGGAGGGUAUUCAGAGUCCUGCCUAGGCAGAAGCCCAGUGGGCAGGUGCUGGGAGAAGAGGUGAGCAGGCCAAGGAGAACAAGCUGGGCUGAGUGGGCCACACCAGGAUGGAUCCCUAUAAGCAGCCCUCAAAUGCUGACAUGCUCAAAAACAGUCCUGCUGCUCAAAGGGAGCUCACAUUUGGCGGGAAGUCCAACAUAUAAAUUGUCACUUCCAGGGCCAGUCUGGAGUCCCUGUGUAGCCUGGGAGUCUCUCAGAGGUGGGCCUGGGGAGAGCAGCUUGUAGCCAGCCACCCUCCUAGCCUUCCACCAACUGACCCCUCAUCUCCAGCUUUCCUCUGCCUCUAGGCUUGCUGUGCUGAUGCCCCCACCCGAAUGUCUCCUCUUCUCCUUC